AGAGUUUGAUUAUGGCUCAGGAUGAACGCUGGCGGCGUGCUUAACACAUGCAAGUCGAACGGAACUCCUGUGUUUGAGGUUUCGGCCAAGAAGACAGGAUGUUUAGUGGCGGACGGGUGAGUAACGCGUGAGUAACCUGCCUUGGAGUGGGGAAUAACACAGUGAAAACUGUGCUAAUACCGCAUAAUGCAUUUGGGUCGCAUGAUUCUGAAUGCCAAAGAUUUAUCGCUCUGAGAUGGACUCGCGUCUGAUUAGCUAGUUGGCGGGGUAACGGCCCACCAAGGCGACGAUCAGUAGCCGGACUGAGAGGUUGGCCGGCCACAUUGGGACUGAGACACGGCCCAG
rnacentral:rRNA from 1 species